rnacentral:rRNA from 1 species
UACGAAGGGGGCUAGCGUUGUUCGGAAUUACUGGGCGUAAAGCGCACGUAGGCGGGUCGUUAAGUCAGGGGUGAAAUCCCGGAGCUCAACUCCGGAACUGCCUUUGAUACUGGCGAUCUAGAGAUCGAGAGAGGUGAGUGGAAUUCCGAGUGUAGAGGUGAAAUUCGUAGAUAUUCGGAAGAACACCAGUGGCGAAGGCGGCUCACUGGCUCGAGACUGACGCUGAGGUGCGAAAGCGUGGGGAGCAAACAGG